UUUCCAUUUUUUUCAUUUUCAUUUCAUGGAACAGCUCUCCCGAGAGAAGAAAAAAAUCAUAAAACCUGAUCUUGUUGUUUCAAUGAAAGUUCAAUCUUCAAAUCUAAUUAGGAUAAUCAAACAAUCACUGAAUUCAUCUUGAAAAGUCUAAAUCGUCAUCAUCAGUUCCUUCUUUCGAAGAUUUUUAACUCAAAAUGAUGAAUUUCAGCGAAUUAGUACGAAGAUUUCAUCAAUUAAAAGUGGAAGCAUCAAGGGACGAAUCAAACCGUUGACUCUAUCCGGAGCAAAACAUUCCCUCCUAAUUCAAGGUUGUAUGCAUUGAAGGACAAUGGGGGAUAUUUGUUUUAAAGAAAAGGAGAGUGCAUGUAACACAAGAAGAUUUUGAGAUGUUGGCGGCCAAGGUAAUGAAGAAGGAAACAUACAAGAACAUGGCACUUGAUCAGAGUUUGAAAGUUGAAAUGAAAAUAUCAAAUCUCAAAUUUGGGACACUUCUGGUCAAGAAAGGUCAAUUUUAUUUUUCUCUCCUCAUUUGGGGUUUUCAGAUUUUGAGCAAGUGUCAAACCUUUUUUCCUCAGUUUGGGUUUCUGCUUUUUUCAGAGUGGUAUAAUAUAGUGUUUUAGCUUUUAUUGAACUAGCUUUUGUUUAAGAUCCUAUAUGGUAUAUUGUCGAAACUCUAUGGUGGACACUUCUCAUACUAGUAAAAAUAUUAAAGACAUGUAUAAAUACCAUGGCAUGACAUCCAACGAUCAUUAUUUCUUUCUUAUCCCUUUUUAAUCAUCUGAUUUCUUGUCAAUGUAGUUUUUCUAUUGAUUAUGCUUAAUCCUAAAAAUAAAAAUUAACUGGUGUAUUUUCUUGUACACCAGUUACAUGGGUGCAAAUAAAAGUGCAUUGUUUUUUUUUUUGUGUGCUUGUUAUACGAGGUGUAUAUGCUUGUACACCAGUUAUAUGCAGUGCAUUUUUAUGUGCAUUGUUUAUUCUUUUUGUAUCAUAGGGUAAUGUAUAGGGUUCCAGGAUCUCUAUCAUCGUUGUUUUGUGCAUAAUUUUGGACCUCUAUCAUCGUUAUUAUGAGAUUAGAGCAACUUGAGGAUCUCCUAGCUUCCUCAGAAACCAAUCAGGAUCAACUUAAUAUAGUGGUCAGGAUGACGAAGACGACUUCGAAGGCUGCAUCUAUUAUGCCUCCAAGGUGUACGCUCAAUUUGAGCUAUAUUUCCAUAGAUCCUGCAUUGGGUGCAUAACUAAGCACCAUCUCAACUGCCAACGAUGUUUCUUUUUGCAAUGAAACAAUAUUUGAGUGCCUCUCUCCUGUUCGGCGCAGUUCUAGUCCUGGGAAGAUGAGUGCAUCUCCUCGCAGGACUCCUCCAUCUAGGGGUGAAAGCCCUGAUAGACGCAUUCAUGAAAGUCCUGGAAAAAGGAGCCGAUCUCAGUGUGAACCUGCUCGUUCUCGUAGCCCAUCACAACAGAAUUCUGAGGCUAAUGUACUUUUCGAGGGAGCUUAAGAACGUUGAGAAGAACAAUGGACAUGUUUUUUUUUUAUAUCAGAAUGGACAUGUUGUAUGUGGUGUACAAACUGGUGCAACUUGUCUUGUCUUUGUAAUUUCUGGAUUUUUGUAGAUGUACAUGUUUAUAUACACUAGUGUAUACUACGAUUUUUAAAAAAUGAAAAUUAUAUAGUCAUACGGGUACUCUUUUCGUAGAUAUC